AUACGAAAGGUGCAAGCGUUGUUCGGAUUUACUGGGCGUAAAGAGAGUGUAGGUGGUUUAUUAAGUCGGAUGUGAAAUCCCGGGGCUCAACCUCGGAACUGCAUUCGAUACUGAUAGGCUAGAGUUCGGGAGGGGUAAGCGGAAUUCCGUGUGUAGCAGUGAAAUGCGUAGAUAUACGGAGGAACACCUGAGGCGAAGGCGGCUUACUGGACCGAUACUGACACUGAGACUCGAAAGCGUGGGUAGCAAACAGGAUUAGAUACCCCAGUAGUCC
rnacentral:rRNA from 1 species